GCGGGCGUAGCUCAGUUGGUUAGAGCAUCAGUUUGUGGCACUGAAGGUCGCCAGUUCGAUCCUGGUCGCUCGCCC
rnacentral:tRNA from 1 species